rnacentral:misc_RNA from 1 species
AACGCACAUUGCGCCCGCCGGCAUUCCGGCGGGCAUGCCUGUUCGAGCGUCAUUUCAACCCUCAGGCCCCCCUGGGCUUGGUGUUGGGGGAUCGCCGCUAGUGAGCGCGCGACCCCUGAAAGCUAGUGGCGGCUCCGCCCGUGGUAGUUACUGCGUAGUAGUUUAAAAGCUCGCAUUAGUUCCCGGCGGUAGUCUUCUGCCGUAAAAACGACAGGCGAAGGCCCCUCCCCCACAGGAGGUGCGCCCUCCCUCUCACUUUUUCAUGAGUUGACCUCGAAUCAGGUAGGAAUACCCGCUGAACUUAA